rnacentral:rRNA from 1 species
AUUGAACGCUAGCGGGAUGCCUUACACAUGCAAGUCGAACGGAGUGGCGAACGGGUGAGUAAUGUAUCGGAACGUGCCCAGUAGAGGGGGCUACCUACGCGAAAGCGUAGCUAAUACCGCAUACUAUUGGAGCGGCCGCUAUCGGAUUAGCUAGUUGGGGGGGUAACGGGUCACCAAGGCUACGAUCCGUAGCUGGUUGGAGAGGACGACCAGCAACACUGGGACUGCGACACGGCCCAGACUCCUACGGUAGGCAGCAGUGGGGAAUGUUGGACAAGGGGGGAAACCCGGAUCCAGCAAUCCCGCGUGUGCGAUGAAGGCCUGCGGUUUGUAAAGCACUUUUGGCAGGAAAGCGGUACCUGCAGAAUAAGCACCGGCUAACUACGUGCCAGCAGCCGCGGUAAUAC